UACGUAGGGUGCAAGCGUUGUCCGGAAUUAUUGGGCGUAAAGAGCUCGUAGGCGGUCUGUUGCGUCGGCUGUGAAAACCCGGGGCUCAACCCCGGGCCUGCAGCCGAUACGGGCAGACUAGAGUUCGGCAGGGGAGAAUGGAAUUCCCGGUGUAGCGGUGAAAUGCGCAGAUAUCGGGAAGAACACCCGUGGCGAAGGCGGUUCUCUGGGACGGUACUGACGCUGAGACGCGAAAGCGUGGGGAGCGAACAGG
rnacentral:rRNA from 1 species